CACCCCAUCUUCACUUUGCCACCUGGAACCUUUCUGUCCUCAGUGGUCAUUCAUGUGGGGAAAAGUAGUUCAUCCUUAAGCAUCCCAGCCAAACUUGCUGUUUUGACCUGGGGUUGCAUGUGGGAGACAGCAGAG
ensembl:snoRNA